CUACUACUUCUUAGAGUU
rnacentral:tRNA from 1 species